rnacentral:ncRNA from 1 species
UUGUAUUACCGGAGAGAAAUCUCGUCAGGUCGAUAGUUAGGUCGCGAAUAUUUAUAUUUAAGCGUAAUUCUAAGUACGCCGCCCUAAUUGGGAAAAAGCCAGUAAUGGCUUUUUUUCUUUUAUGG